UUACUGGUAGCUCAGUUGGUAGAGCACGGGACUCUUAAUCUCAGGGUCAUGCAUUUGAGCCCCACAUCGGGCAAA